rnacentral:rRNA from 1 species
GAUCUCAAAUGAAGCAAGAGAACCCGCUGAACUUAAGCAUAUUAUUAAGCGGAGGAAAAGAAACUAACAAGGAUGCCCUCAGUAACGGCGAGUGAAGCGGGCAAAGCUCAACCUGAAAAUCUGGUUCCUUAGCGGGAACUCGAAUUGUGGGCUAGCAGGCGUGUGAUCAGUGUGUGACCCAGGUAUAAGUCUUUUGAAACAAGGUAUCAGAGAGGGUGAGAAUCCCGUCUUUGACCUGGAGUAUUCGCCGCGUACGAUCCACGUUCGUAGAGUCGAGUUGUUUGGGAUUGCAGCUCUAAAUGGGUGGUAAGUUUCAUCUAAAGCUAAAUAUCGACGAGAGACCGAUAGCGAACAAGUACCGUGAGGGAAAGAUGAAAAGAACUUUGAAAAGAGAGUUAAAAAGUACUUGAAAUUGCUAAGAGGGAAGCACUGGAAACCAG